UGGCAGUAUUAAUUAAAUAUUUUUUCCCUUGUUUUCAGACAUGUCGUGCAGGGCUAGACUUGCGACUCUAAAUGAAAAGUUGACUGAUCUGGAGAGAAGGAUAGAGUACUUGGAAGCUAGGGUAACAAAAGGGGAGACACUCACGUAGGCAAGGCAGAAGCCUUUUCCAAUGCUAUUUGGCAGCUAGCUGUUAAUGGCAGAGUGAUCCAGCAAUGACUCUACUUCCUGCAUUGAAUCUGUGCAAUAGCCUACACUUUACUUAUACAAAUGCUUUGUUAUUACAUUGGUUCGAUUUUAUCGUACAUAUAGCAUCUAUGUAAAAUUAAGGUGAUAAAGUUCUCUAGCAGUAAGAAGUGAGGGUGGUGAUUUAAAGAUUGAUGUGUAUGAAGUAAUACAUUGAAUCAAGAUGUGAAUUUGCAAAGAGUCUUGUAUAUGCGCAUAUAAAUACAUGUAUAUUCACGUGUGUGCAUACGUACGACUGCGCGUACAUGUACGUGCAUGCGUGCGUGUUUGUGUUUAACUUGUACGUAGAGUAUCAGUUGCCUUACAGAAAGUCUCGUAGUAUACUAUGCAGCAGCUGAGAGUAUAUGCGGUUGAUUACAGGAAUGUUCGGGAUCUCUGCUCCGAUUCACUGCAGUUGUUUCCAGAGAUGUCAGGACACGCCAGUGCUUUCACAUUACAGUCUAGAAAUUGCAGAGAAUAGGUAACCUAUUAUGGGAAAAAAACAAUAUAGUGAAUCUGUAUAUGUAUAUUGAAUAGAUUUUAUACCUCUUCUUUGAACAUAAUAGUUAAUGGACGGUUUUGUAUAUAAUAAUACUGUCGUAAGUUUGUUUGAAACUGGAUAUGCUGUAAAAUCGUAUUCGUGCUAAUUGUGUAUCAUUGCAAACACAAUUGACGUGCUGACAUAUAUACAGAAUAAUAUGAAUACCACUUUUUUAUAUAAAUGUGUAUACAAACUUUCCGGGUGCAUGUAUUUAUUAUUCAUGAUACAGCCCCAACCAUAAUAAGUGAAGGAUAUUGCCAAAGGUUUUUCUAAAGGUUUUGCAUAAUGGUAUAGUAAUUUGCCACAUUACAGAAGUAAUGCAUUCCAGAAGAAACGUUUGUGACGUGAAAUACCCUAACGUGGAUUGUAUCCAUAAUUCAUAAUUAUAAUUUCAUAAUUAUUUCAUAAUUAGAGAUGCAUUACUGUGGAGAAUUUUUGGCCAAAUGAAGUUCGUAAUUCCAAAAUAUAUAUUGCAAAAUAAAAUUAUAAAAUGCAAGUAAA